rnacentral:rRNA from 1 species
AUUGAACGCUGGCGGCAUGCUUUACACAUGCAAGUCGAACGGUAACAGGUUAAGCUGACGAGUGGCGAACGGGUGAGUAAUGCAUCGGAACGUGCCCGAUCGUGGGGGAUAACGCAGCGAAAGCUGCGCUAAUACCGCAUACGAUCUGAGGAUGAAAGCGGGGGACCGUAAGGCCCCGCGCGAUCGGAGCGGCCGAUAUCAGAUUAGGUAGUUGGUGGGGUAAAGGCUCACCAAGCCAACGAUCUGUAGCUGGUCUGAGAGGACGACCAGCCACACUGGGACUGAGACACGGCCCAGACUCCUACGGGAGGCAGCAGUGGGGAAUUUUGGACAAUGGGCGAAAGCCUGAUCCAGCAAUGCCGCGUGCAGGAAGAAGGCCUUCGGGUUGUAAACUGCUUUUGUACGGAGCGAAAAGGUUCUCUCUAAUACAGAGGGCUCAUGACGGUACCGUAAGAAUAAGCACCGGCUAACUACGUGCCAGCAGCCGCAGUAA